rnacentral:tRNA from 1 species
GGCGCGGUGGCGGAACAGGUAUACGCGACGGACUUAAAAUCCGUUGGUGGUAAAACACCUUGUGGGUUCGAUUCCCACCCGCGCCA